AACUUUCGGCAAUGGAUCACUUGGUUCUGGCAUCGAUGAAGAACGCAGCGAAAUGCGAAAAGUAGUGUGAAUUGCAGAAUUCCGUGAAUCAUCGAAUCUUUGAACGCACAUUGCGCCCCUCGGUAUUCCGUGGGGCAUGCCUGUUCGAGCGUCAUUUACACCCUCAAGCACUGCUUGGUGUUGGGCGUCUGUCCCGCUUUAUGUGUGGACUCGCCCCAAAGUCAUUGGCAGCAGUCGUACCAGCUUCUCGCGCAGCACAAAUGCGUUUCUUGAAGGUCUGGGGGAUUAGCAUCCAUAAGCUCUUUUUAAUUUUGACCUCGGAUCAGGUAGGGAUACCCGCUGAACUUAAGCAUAUCAAUAAGCGGAGGCU
rnacentral:misc_RNA from 1 species